AUCAAAGUCUCCAAACUUCUUGAAUCAGUCAGUCAUUGGGUAAUAUCAUUCUAACUUUCUAGUAUUAUUUUUAUUUAUUAUUUAUUAUUUUAUUGAUUUUACUUUGUACAUAUUAUUUAAUUUUUUUUUAGAAUAUAAAUAUGUCAACAAGAAAAUAUGCAUCUGAUUCAAAAAUACAAAAUAAAAGAAAAGAAAAGCUAAAAAUUUAAUAAAAUCUCAAAAAGGAGCUGUUGACAAAUUUUUGACAAACAAUGAAAAAUAAGGCCCUAUAUUAAACUUUCGCCUUAGGCUUCAUAUACGCUUGAGCCGCCCCCGUUGAUGAGGCAAUACAUUCGACAUUUAAUCAGUGCCAAAAUAUAAAAUGGUGAUGAAAUGGUCUUAUACAAAUUGACCUAUAAAUAGAAUGCCUAGCCUUAUUUGGUGAUUCUUUAGUGAUGAAAGAAAACUCAACCAGUGUUACUGCUCAUUAUAUCUCCUUUAAAAUGCGAGCAAUGGGGAUUCCUCGGGAAAAAUUUAAGGGCUGGCAUGGCUUGGUAAUUGUGAAGCAGCAAUGAAUGAGCUUUUAAAAUAAAUGGGUAAGAUUGGAGUCUAAUAUAUUAUUUUGUAUAUAAAUAGUAAACUGUAUAUGCUAACGUAAUUAAGUGAUAAUUCCGGUAAAAACGAUAAAUAGUUUAUAAUAUAGUAUAAAUAGGUAAAUAUUCCUAAAGAAAAAGCCCACUUAGGGCCUGCGUCAGGUCUCAUCCCGUUCCGUCCCAUUAGUUAGCGGGACAAACGGGCCUAAUGGGUCAUCUUAUUUAUCCCGGCCAGAUAAGACCCGUUCCCUUGAAUCCCUUUAAGUUUUUGUCUCGUCCCGUCCCGUCCCAUUGGACAACCAUGCUUAUUAAGUAGUAUUUUCUAGUUUUGCUACUAAUAUUUUGGUGUAUUUAAUUUGCCAGAGGCUUUGGUGUAUAUAUCUUUAAGCGAUAGAUAGCUAUACAACUGAGCAAGUGAUCGUUUAUGUGAUAUAGCUCAGUUUUUUUUUCUUUUAAUCUUUUAUGGUUAAUAACGAAACCAUCAUAUAUUAUGCAUCCAUAUCAUGUACAAGAGAUCAGUGCUAUUAGUAGCACUAAAGUUUGCCCAGUGCCAUCAGUCACUCCUAACAUGUUCCGAGUUACAAGAAAAACAAGAUAGCACAUGAGUUUUUAAAUUUAUAUAUAGCUCAGUAGUUUCAUUAAUUGGACAUGACAAACCACAUAACACUACCAGAAAUUUAUCUCCUAUAAUUAGGUUCUUUAUGUCUGGAUUUAACUACUGAUCUGUUGGCCUAAGUGAAGGUUGUUUUGAAGAUUGAUAAAAGAAGCUCAGGCAUGAACUAAGUCCAUCUUUAUGUGCGUAGACACGGGUAGAUUCGAGCAUAUAGAAUGCACAUGAAAGAGAUAAGUUUAACUUGGUAUAAUUGAUUCUCCUGAUCGAAAAUGUUGCAUAAUUAAUAAGGAGAAGGACUCCUUACUCAAAUAGAACACUAUCCAAGAUAUGGGAGGAGUUCGAAGUUGAGAUCACCUAGAACUCUUCCACCAAGGAAGAGUAGCAUUAAAACUCUAGUUAUUUCUUCAUUUACCAACUCUAUAUAUUGCAGGAUGUUCUCAUUUUACACGUAUGCACAAAAGCAGAAGUUAAACGUAAAUUGAGAGCAAAAUAGCAAGGCAUUUUGCAAGCAGUUCGUGUGUGAUUCAAGUGUGCAAACCUGAAGCUACAUGAACCAGAUAGAAGAACCAGUUCCAAGUGUCUGUCUUUUAUCAUAGUUCAAUUGUAGUAGGUAUUUUCAUAUUGUACUUUUCAGCUUUAUCUAGAGGCAAUUAUAAUAGGUACUCAGAGUAUUCAAGAUAGAGUUAACUUGAAGUUGUCGCAACAGUUAGAGGUUAUUUGCCACAAUGGGAUUAGAGUUAAUCCUAGGUUUACAAAGGAUUUUUGUAAAUGCACUUUUUGGUUCAGUGAUUUAG
rnacentral:lncRNA from 1 species